GAUGAACGCUAGCGGCAGGCUUAAUACAUGCAAGUCGAGGGGCAGCAUAAGUAGCAAUACUUGAUGGCGACCGGCAAACGGGUGCGGAACACGUACAGAACCUUCCUUCGAGCGGGGAAUAGCCCGGAGAAAUCCGGAUUAAUACCCCAUAGUAAAUUGAAAAGGCAUCUUUUAAUUUAAGAUUAUCACUUGAAGAUGGCUGUGCGCCUGAUUAGGUAGUUGGCGGGGUAACGGCCCACCAAGCCUUCGAUCAGUAACUGGUGUGAGAGCACGACCAGUCACACGGGCACUGAGACACGGGCCCGACUCCUACGGGAGGCAGCAGUAAGGAAUAUUGGUCAAUGGACGCAAGUCUGAACCAGCCAUGCCGCGUGGAGGAUGAAGGUCC
rnacentral:rRNA from 1 species